AUUUGCCUGAAUGCUGGUGGGAUCAACAAAUAACCGGAUCAGGGCGUUUCGGUGACUGCAAAGUCGUGCUGAACUUCACUGUGACUUAAACCUAAAAUAAUAAACACACAAACAAACAUUAAGAUGGCUUUAAACGCGUGCUAUCGACUGACGAGGUGUGUUUUACGAGUUGCAGAAAGCAGAACUGUUGCUGUGAGAGCGUUAGCAUCGCGCUCGCGCUGUUUAUAUCGGCAGGCCGGUGUGAGUACAGACCUUUGGACGCGCAGUUUCUCUGCAGCUGAUCAGACCGCGGUGUCGGUGACUUAUGAUCAGAUAAAGAAGCUUCUUGUGACCAAGUCUGGUGUUGUAAUUGACGUGAGAGAGCCUUGGGAACUCCGAGAAUACGGCAGUAUACCUGGCUCUAUUAACGUGCCACUGGGUCAGGUGAUCGCGGCUCUGCAGCUGAAGCCAGAAGAGUUUAAGGAGAAAUAUGGAGGUGAAAUGCCUAUGGUUGGUGAACGCCUGAUCUUUACCUGUCUGGCAGGUGUGAGGAGUCCGAAAGCUCUGGAAGCAGCUCAGUCCUUAGGAUACUCCAAGUGAGGAAGAGUUUUCACUCAUCCUCACCAUCUUCCUCACAAUAAGAUUAUUUACAUGACUAUUAUAACCAUGUACAGCACUAUCCAGGAGGAUGGCAAGACUGGGCUAAACAUGAAAUACUGCAGACUAAAGCGUGAGUCAUCAUGAAGCUGUAAAACUGUGAGAAAUAUACAAAGAAAAACUCCAUGUACACUGUAAUAAAGGACGGACUGGUCAACGUCGUUCAGCUGCGAAUGUGAUCAUUAUUUAUUUGCCAAAUCUAAAGAAAUGAAAGAACUGAAACUGCACAGAAAGUCAAAUUACACUUGUCCUAUUUUAUAAGCUUCUGUAUAUAUUUACCAACAUGUUUAUUGUGUGUUCUGAACACUUUAGCUUCAUUAAAGAUAUUUAUCAGGAAGCUAGAAAGGAAUUCUGGGAUACAGCCAUAACUGAAGCAGGCUUAAUAAUCGCUGCAAAUUUAUAAUUAAUUUAGAAAGUUAUUAAUGUAUUGGGAUUAUUCUAAGGUGCAUGCUCUGGAAACAGAAGACAGUACUUUAUAAAAGUUUGCACACAUUUGCCUUAAAUCUUGUUGUACCUUUCAGUGUCUGAUAAAAUAAAUAAAUGACUUGAAAUGA